rnacentral:lncRNA from 1 species
GAGGCGGAGAGCACUACAGCGGUGACUCAGACGCAUCCAGCCCGCGCUCCAACUGUUCCGACGGCAUGAUGGAUUAUAGCGGCCCCCCGAGCGGUGCCCGGCGGCGGAACUGCUACGACGGCACCUAUUACAGCGAGGCGCCCAGCGAACCCCGGCCCGGGAAGAAUGCUGCGGUGUCGAGCCUCGNNNNNNNNNNNNNNNNNNNNNNNNNNNNNNNNNNNNNNNNNNNNNNNNNNNNNNAAGAGGCGGCCGCCGGGAGCGAGGUCGAGCGCGGCACCCCCACCCCUUCCCCGGACGCCGCCCCGCAGUGCCCCGCGAGCGCGAACCCCAACCCUAUCUACCAGGUGCUCUGAGGGGGUGGGCGGCCACAACGGAGGGCGCGCUGCUGCUUAUGGGCCGGAGGGAUGGUGCCCCUAGGGUCCCUCGCGCCCAGAAGUUUGAGCUUCAAUGCCAACUCCUCUCCUAAACAGCGCUUUAAAAGCGACCCUCCAGAAGUAGGAGUGGCGGGAGAAAUGAUUUUUGUUUCCGCCUCUCGCACCCCAGGGCAAGGACAUGGUCCUUUUUGGUUGUUGUUGUUUUCCACGCAGCACCCUUCCCUGAGACCCGCUGCGAUGGCCGUUUGAUGUUACUCGGUGGGCCAGAGCUGACCCCUGACCGCCCAGGCGGGCCCUCUCCUCGCUCCCUCCCUCAUGGUGGGGAGCGGGGCGGGGAGGGGGGGGGAACACAAGCAGAUCUAAGCCGCGCCCCUGGACGCCCGGAAGCUUAAAGGCGCCUGGCCUUUCCUUUCCUGAGUCCUCCGGGUGUCACCUCUUUACCGCUGUCAGCGGAAUACGUUCCUGUCCCAAGUGUAACAGGUGUAACGGUAACCACUCCUACCCCCUCCCCCGGUUCAGGACCACUUUUUGUAAUACUUUUGUAAUCUAUUCCUGUAAAUAAGAGUUGCUUUGCCAGAGCAGGGGCCCCUAGGGCUGUAUUUAUCUCUGAGGCAUGGUGUGCGGUGCGACAGGGACUUUGUAUGUUUAUACGGCAGGCGGGCGAGCCGCGGGCGCUCGCUCAGGUGUUCGAAAUAAAGACGCUAAUUUAUAUUGCGGUGGCUCCGGCUUUCGCUGGGGUUGGGGGCAGGUUUUUGGCUUGGAGGAAAAUCUGCAAACUGGGCCAGUUGUACCGCAGCGACCUCUGUAGGAGAAAGAAGGAUUUCCAGGAGGAAGUUUGGGGCGGGCAGAAGGGAGGGGGUGUGUAUGUUUCCGAUGGCAAGAUCCUCUGACUGUGAAGUACAUCACCCCACACAGGUCAGUGGUUCUCGUGUCAGGAUGGAUAUUUGAAUGAUCUGAGUAGUUAAAAAAAGAUCUAUGGCUGCCCCCCCCAGAGAUUCUGAUUAAAUACAUCUGCUCCAGAUAACCCUGGCCAGGGACUGAUAUUUUUCAAAAAGCUCCCCAGGUGAUUCUGAAGUGCCUAUAUGGUUGAGAAUGAUGCCUCUCCAUACACACAGAGUGAAGCCGGUGUGGUGUCCAGAAGGAUCACUGAAAAGACAGGUCCCCCAGGGCCACUCAGAACCUUCAUGGGUAUAGAGGAUGUGAUGAGGUGCUCACAGCAUUAUGAUGGAAAAUCUGAAUGAAGGUGAAGCAGCAUUGCAAGCUGUAUAGUAUUUUCAGGCUCUUGGCGAGAGGUGUAAUCCCAAGGGGACAGCCUAGAAGGCCAGACGGGCACAGAGGCCUCUACUCUAAGUAACCCAGCACUUAGAGCAUCCUGGCACUGUCAGAUCUCAUAAGACAGGUGCCCAAAGCUUGCAAGGAGAGGGGCACAGGCAAACCUGCAUCAUCACAGGUGGUAUCAGUGCUCUUAUCAAGCCGUAUAUACUCUGAGAGCAGAGGAGGGGCUGUUGAAAUAGCCAGGGUCCUGGGGAGGGCAUCAUGGAAGAGAUGCCCUUUGAACUGUGUCUUGAGAAACAAAAGAAAACAUCACAUGCACAAUGCCUACAGACCUCCCCCCCACACACACACAGGGGACACACAGACAGGGGACACCCCCCCCACACACACACACACACAUCUCUGGGAGGGCACCUCUGGAUAAAUAGCCUGGCAGAAGUUCUGCCCAAUCCCACCCCCUGAUUCACAUAUACUUGUUACUGGGACUUUACUGCCUCCUACAUCUCCCUCCUACAGACCCUUUUUUUCCUGAAAAUGAUACAGGCCCCCUUUCAAGGGCUCUUCUCAGCAAGGUGGGGCGAGCAUGGAGAGGGCCUGGGGAAGGCAGGCAAGACAUAGUGGCAGCAGGGAGAGCUGAGGAUGGGCUGUCUGCUCUCAGGGCUGCCCUGUUACUAAAGAUCUUCAGCUUUUGUAUUGGCUGCUUCCUCAGAUGUGCCUUGGGCUUCUUUACACUCCUUUGAGACCCCCUGGAGCUCAUUCAUGAAUUAAUUCAUUCAACAGACACCAGGUUCCAUGCUGGGUGAAAACAGAGACCAGUGGACACCCACGGUUUCUGCCCUUGGGGAGCACCCAGCCAUUUGGGGACUGGAUCUUUUAGCAGCUGGUUACAUCACGAUGGAUUAAGUGCUAUAAUGGGGGUGUAUGUGGCAGAGGGACACAGUAGGAACAGGAGAUAUAGGCAAGCAAGCUGCCACUGCUAAGGAUCUUAAAGGAGCUGGUCAGGAAAGAGGAGACAAGGAUGCUCCAAGCGGAGGAAGUGGCAAGGGCACAGACCCAGCGGUGACAGAAAGCAAACUGUGCCUUCAUGAAACCAAAAGUACUCACAGGGAGGGGCCAGAGGUGAGAUGGGGGAGAGGCAGAAGCAGGGCCACCAGGGACCUCAUUUGGGCUUUAUCCUGAAGGCAGUCGGGAGCCAGGGAGGAAUCCACCAGGGGAAGGUAACAGAUAAAUCUGUAUUUUAGAAAGGCCAUUCUGGGCUGGCAGCAUGGAUAGGAGGGAACAAGACCUCAGACAAGAAGCUGUGUCAAGAAGUCACCAGGGUUGCUCAGAGGAGACAUGACAUGGCCUGAACUGGGUUUGUGACAGGGGGUGGGAGAAAAAGCACAGGAGUAGAGACAGUUGUGCUAGAUAAAGUCUGGGUGUUAACAGUACAAUGGAGAAUCUUGUGUGUGUGUGUAUGUGCAUGUGUGUCUUUUCAGAGCUGCUCCAGUGACACAUGGAAGUUCCCAGGUGAGGGGUCGAAUGGGAGCUAUAGCUGCUGACCUACACCCCAGCCACAGCAAAGCCAGAUCCAAGCCAUGUCUGAGAUGACGCCACAGCUUGCUGCAACACUGGGUCCUUAACCCACUGAGCAAAGCUAGGGAUCAAACCCAAAUCCUCAUGGAUACUAGUUGGGUUCUGAACCCGCUGAGCCACAGCAGGAACUCCAACAAUGAAGAAUCUUGAGGGCAGAGUCCCUACCCUCACACAACUUAGAAUCCCCUGGGGCAAUAUCAGUAGACAGAGAAUUAAGUGAAAAAUGCCAUGCUAUAAAUGAUGAGAAAUGCUGUACAGAGAAGUAAAAGGACCAAUGAGAGGUGAUAAUGGGUUCGAGAAGGUAAUCAGGCACAGGGAGGAAGGAGGCAGGACUUUUGCCCUGAGAAAACCAAUUGCAUAUAUGAGGAAGGCCCCAGUAGCCUGUAGGAAGCUGAUGUGCAGUUAGAAAAAAAAGUGUCUUUUUGAGAGUUCCUGUCGUGGCGCAGAGGAAAUGAAUCCGACUAGGAACCAUGAGGUUGCGGGUUCGAUCCCUGGCCUUGCUCAGUGGGUUAAGGAUUUGGUGUUUUGGUGAGCUGUGGUAUAUAGGUCACAGUUGCAGCUCAGAUCUGGCGUUGCUGUGGCUCCAGCGUAGGCCGGUGCUCCGAUUAGACCCCUAGCCUGGGAACUUCCAUGUGCUGCGGGUGCAGCCCUAAAAGCACAAAAAGACCAAAAAAAAAAAAAAAAAAGAAAGAAAGAAAGAAAGAAAAGUGUCUUUUCUUACCAGAGGAUGUGGCUCUGCACCAGGGUUCAUGACUAGGCAAACAAGAAAGAGAGCCGGUUGGACAUCAGGCCCCACUCACACCCUGGUCAGGUGUGCUUGUUCAGUGAACAACCUAUAGAACUGUUCUCAGAGCCUUGUGUGCAGAAGCGCUAAGGAUGGAAGGGAAAAGGAGAGGCCGAGGAUGACUUCAGGCUCUGGUUUGCUUCAGCAUGGACAGUAGUGCCAUUAGAGAUGAAGAUCACAGGAGAGGAAGAAGCAGGCAUGGGGACAGAUUUAGUCCUGGACACUUCUGGUUGCAAGAGCCAGAAACCCAAUUCAAACUAGGUGAAACCCCACAGGGGGGUGUGUUGGAAGGACUCAGUGUGGCUCACAUAUGGAAAUAGCACUGCAAGCACCGCAGUACCCAUGGGCCUUGGGAGUCAGGACUGGAGCCCCUCCUACCCAUCCACACAGCCCCCUUCUUGCCUCUAUGCUCUCCUAGUCCGUAUUGGUUUUCUCCAGCAACUCAGGGAUUACCUCAGAUCUCACCAUUGAACUCCGCUUAGUUAAAGAUGAGAUCAGCCCAUGGAUGAUGGGACUCGAGGUCGCCUCCUGGCCUGGCCUGCACCUCAGUCCCCUGGGCAGGGUGUGCUAGAAGACACAUCUAACUGAACCCAACUCCGUUUGCAGCGUAGGUGAAAUGGCCUCUGCUCUUGGGGCCAUUUUCACCUGGGCUGGAUCUGAGGGGACACUGGGCGGUGCCCUCCCAUAGAGACACAUGCAUGUCUCUACACAUGUGUACACCACACAUGUCCCCAGAGCAUAGCACCAGGGGCUUAUGCACCUGGAAGCCAAGGAGCUUGAAGCUUCAGGUCCUCACCAUUGCAUGAGCUCCUCCUAAGGCCCUGGGAGAAGUCCUAGAAACAUCUUCAUAUGGUCUAGUUCCUUUUUAAAUUUUCCAAAGGAAAAUAUUUUAGCUAACUGGCUAUGACCAUUUUCUCUAUUCUGACUGCCCCCUUGAGUUGAGUGGCAUUUAGGGGCAUAUUGGGUUCUCUUGAAAGGUAUCUGUUUUGUUUGAGUUUAGUGGAAUAUAUUUUAAAUAAAUGAAAUAUGGAGUUCCCGUUGUGGCUCAGUGGGUUAUGAAUCUGACUAGUAUCCAUGAGAAUGAAGGUUUGAUCUUUGCCCUCGCUCUGUGGGUUAAGGAUCCCGUGUUGCCAUGAUCUGUGGUGUCGGUCACAGAUGUGGCUCAGAUCCCGAGUCGCUGUGGCUGUGGCGUAGGCCAGCAGCUGCAGCUCCACUUCGACCCCUAGCCUGGUAACUUCCAUAUGCUGCAGGUGAGGCCCUUAAAAAGCAUAAAUAAAAUCAAUCAAUCAAUUAAUUAAUUAAUAAUUAAAAUAUGUAACAGAAGCAGGAGUUCCCACCGUGCACAGUGGGUUAAGAGUCUGACCGUAGCAUCUCCAGUCUCUGCAGAGGCACGGGUUCAAUCCCUGGUCUGGCACAGUGGGUUAAAGGAUCUGGCAUUGCUGCAGCUUUGGUGCAGGUCACAACGGUGCCAUAGGUUGCAGCUACGGCUUGAAUUCAGUCCCUGGCCCAGGAACUUCCAUAUGCCAUGAGUGCUGCCAUUUAAGAAAAAAAUAACAAACAGAAUCAAUAAUAAUGAACAAUGAAAUAAAUUAUAAUGAUUCUGAUAUUGAGAAGGCAAGAGUACCCCCCAAAAUAUAUUUAGAUCAUACCCAAAAGCAGUUUAUGAAAAGAGAGAGAUAACUUUUGAAUGGGAUUAUUCAAAAGACUCUUGCAUUGUUUGAUUAUCUAAUCGACAAAUAAAGUGAAUUAUAUGAACAUAUUAGAAAAAGAUUUAAAUUUUUUCCCUGGUCUAACACAAAAUAUUGACAUCAAUGAAAACAGAAUAAAAUUCAUAAUAUGCCACCAUAAUAAGACCUUAACACCAUAAUAAGACCUUAACACCAAGGAACUUUUCUAAUGAAUCCUGCCAAUUUAAAAGCAUUUAAAAUUAAGCACAGAAAAACUCAAAAUAUCUUGAAAUGCUAUAGUCCACAGAUGAAAAAAAUUUGAUGGCGUUUUCUCCAAAGUUGACAACAAUCCUAAAAUGGAACAUUUUAGGUACAAUUUCCAAUAGAUAGUUCCAAUAGAGUGGUGAGCCUGGAAAAGGCUUCUCUAAAUUAUUCAAGACACCAAACAAGUUUUGAUCAACUCUGUUGAAGGAGAGACUGGAUUAGCUGCAUGAGAUCUCAAUUAUCAGUAGAGAAAAUAAUAGAAUCAUGUGAAGAGGCAGUUAAAGAACACAUAGCCCGAUGCGGGUAGAAAGGAGUGGGCAAGACUGAAAAAGGCAAGGAAAAGAGCCAGAGGAGAAAGACAAAAAGGACAAGGAGAUGAAGAGGAGGAUGAAGAUGAAAUGGUGAUGAUGCUAAUGAUGGGGAGGAUAAUUUAAUUCUAGCGCCGUCUUUUUCUCAUCUAUAAAACACUGAAUCAUCUGUACACAACUCACUAGUGUUAAAGAGAAAAACUGCGAAGCUGUGUAAUCCUCCUUUUUAUUCCGUACAGGGUCAUUUUUGUAUAGUUAACUUUUUUUCAGACAUUUAAUAGUGGGUUUUAUUUGAUUUUAUUUUUUAUUUAGCUUGUUGUUGGUACAUCUCAAAGGUAAAAAUGACUCCUUUAUGUUUUUCAUUUUUUAAAGUUUGAUUGAAGUAUAGUUGAUUUGCAAUGUUGUGAUCAUUUUUGCUGUAACAGUGGGUUUUAAUUCAUGUAGAACUUUGCCAGCAGCAGAGGGAAGUGAGUCCUGGAUGAUGUCCAUGGCCACGUAAUUCCUGGGAUUGAGGCCUGGCUGUGCCACUGACCAACUCUGAGACCUUGGAAUUGUGACUUACUCUUUUGGAUUUGGACUUUCUCCGUGUGUUAUGAGUUGGUGAAUUUAAAAGAUAGGUUCCAGUUCUGGGAGUUCCUGUUGUGGCACGGUGGAAACAAAUCCGACUAGGAACCAUGAGGUUUCGGGUUUGAUCCCUGGCUUCGCUCAGUGGGUUAAGGAUUUGGCGUUACCGUGAGCUGUGGUGUAGGUCGCAGACUCAGAUUUUGAGUUGCUGUGGCUGGAGGGCAGCGGAGCAGCUGCAGCUCCAAUUUGACCCCUAGCCUGGGAACCUCCAUAUACUGCAGAUAUGGCCCUAAAGACAAAGAGACAAAAAAAAAAAAAAAAAAAAAAAAAAAAAAAAAAA